rnacentral:rRNA from 1 species
ACGGGUGAGGAAUGCAUCGGAAUCUACCCUGUCGUGGGGGAUAACGUAGGGAAACUUACGCUAAUACCGCAUACGACCGAGAGGUGAAAGUGGGGGACCGCAAGGCCUCACGCGAUUGGAUGAGCCGAUGCCGGAUUAGCUAGUUGGUGGGGUAAAGGCCCACCAAGGCGACGAUCCGUAGCUGGUCUGAGAGGAUGAUCAGCCACACUGGGACUGAGACACGGCCCAGACUCCUACGGGAGGCAGCAGUGGGGAAUAUUGGACAAUGGGCGCAAGCCUGAUCCAGCCAUGCCGCGUGUGUGAAGAAGGCCUUCGGGUUGUAAAGCACUUUUGUUCGGGAAGAAAUCGUGCGGAUUAAUACUUCGUACGGAUGACGGUACCGAAAGAAUAAGCACCGGCUAACUUCGUGCCAGCAGCCGCGGUAAUACGAAGGGUGCAAGCGUUACUCGGAAUCACUGGGCGUAAAGCGUGCGUAGGCGGUUGGUUAAGUCUGCUGUGAAAGCCCUGGGCUCAACCUGGGAACUGCAGUGGAUACUGGCUAGCUAGAGUGUGAUAGAGGAUGGUGGAAUUCCCGGUGUAGCGGUGA